AGAGAGUUAGUCCAAAAAAGACUUCUAAUUUCGGCUUAGACAAUUAUGGUGAAAAUCCAUAACCCUCUU